rnacentral:rRNA from 1 species
AGAGUUUGAUCCUGGCUCAGGAUGAACGCUGGCGGCGUGCCUAACACAUGCAAGUCGAACGGAGACUUAUUGACAGAACUCCUCGGAGGGAAGAUGAUAAGUCUUAGUGGCGGACGGGUGAGUAAUGCAUGAGCAACUUGCCUUUCAGAGGGGGAUAACACAUCGAAAGGUGUGCUAAUACCGCAUGAAAUGACGGGAUCGCAUGAUCCUGUUAUCAAAGGAGCAAUCCGCUGAAAGAUGGGCUCAUGUCUGAUUAGAUAGUUGGUGAGGUAACGGCUCACCAAGUCGACGAUCAGUAGCCGGACUGAGAGGUUGAACGGCCACAUUGGAACUGAGAGACGGUCCAGACUCCUACGGGAGGCAGCAGUGGGGAAUAUUGGGCAAUGGGCGCAAGCCUGACCCAGCAACGCCGCGUGAAGGAAGAAGGUCUUCGGAUUGUAAACUUUUGUCUGAUGGGACGAUAAUGACGGUACCAUAGGAGGAAGUCACGACUAACUACGUGCCAGCAGUCGCGGU